rnacentral:miRNA from 2 species
UAUAGGAGGUCUCAAAAUGAAU